UUCUGCUACCUAUUUAAAGAGGGGAAAUACACUGAAAUAAAAAAAAACAAAUAAACAAAAAAGAAUGGGCAGCCUUGAGAGCUUCUUCGUCAACAAUAAAAGAAACGAUAGACAUCCCUCCCAACUUCCAAAAAAAAGACUCAUCCUCACCGUAACGAAUUACGUUUUCUGAUCUUAAACCAGCUUCUCCAUAAAAUCUCAUCAUUAAAUAAAAACCAUCCAACAAAAACUAAUUAAACUCAUAAAAAUCCAGUAACACCACUUUGAACAAAGAUUGGUAACUAUCAUUCCUCCCACUACCAUGUGAACCUCCGUCAAACAAGCUUCAAGUCUGCUGCUGCGGAUUUUCGAAUUUGCUGGUGAGAUUUUCCAUUUGAGAUCGCUAUUCACUGUUUCCCGCUCGAAGUCGUCAAGGUCUGGGUCGAGGGUGUUGUCCGAGGUUCGAGGUUCGUGGAAUAAUUUCAUGUUGCUGCUGUUUUUCGGCUCCUGUUACGCUGCUGUAAUUGCUUGAGAUCCAGGUAUCGAUCGUUAGUAGUUGUGUGGAUCAUUGAUGAGGAGACUCAAGGUAAACAAGUUGCUGCAAUCGCAGGCUUCAGAGUCACCUUCUUACUUGUAUUCAAUUGUUUCAUUCUUUUCCGAUCAGUUAUAUUUAAACGUGGUAGCUAACUCUAUAGAGCUUAUGACUUGUACUACCGGGAUUUAGGAAUAUGUUCAUUGUAUAAAUGAUUCAUUCAAGAAGAAAUUUAAUAUGUUAUUUA